GACGAACGCUGGCGGCGUGCUUAACACAUGCAAGUCGAACGGAAAGGCCCUGCUUUUGUGGGGUGCUCGAGUGGCGAACGGGUGAGUAACACGUGAGUAACCUGCCCUUGACUUUGGGAUAACUUCAGGAAACUGGGGCUAAUACCGGAUAGGAGCUCCUGCUGCAUGGUGGGGGUUGGAAAGUUUCGGCGGUUGGGGAUGGACUCGCGGCUUAUCAGCUUGUUGGUGGGGUAGUGGCUUACCAAGGCUUUGACGGGUAGCCGGCCUGAGAGGGUGACCGGCACCAGGGGGCUAGGGAAGGCGCCCAGGGCCAAUCGGGGGGAAGGGGGGGGAAAUGUGGCAAACGGGGCGGAGGCGUUAAGGAGAACCGCCGGGUGGGGGAGGACGGCUUUUGGGUGGGAAAAGCAUUUGGCCGGUAACGAGGGGUUGGGGAGGUAAAGGGGGAAAAAGGCCCGGGUAACUUCGUG
rnacentral:rRNA from 1 species